GUAUAAGCAUUAUACAGUGAAACUGCGAAUGGCUCAUUAAAUCAGUUAUCGUUUAUUUGAUAGUACCUUACUACUUGGAUAACCGUGGUAAUUCUAGAGCUAAUACAUGCUAAAAAUCCCGACCUCUGGAAGGGAUGUAUUUAUUAGAUAAAAAAUCAAUGCUUCGGCUUCUUGAUGAUUCAUAAUAACUUUUCGAACCGCAUGGCCUUGUGCUGGCGGUGGUUCAUUCAAAUUUCUGCCCUAUCAACUUUCGAUGGUAGGAUAGUGGCCUACCAUGGUUUCAACGGGUAACGGGGAAUAAGGGUUCGAUUCCGGAGAGGGAGCCUGAGAAACGGCUACCACAUCCAAGGAAGGCAGCAGGCGCGCAAAUUACCCAAUCCCGACACGGGGAGGUAGUGACAAUAAAUAACGAUACAGGGCCCUUUCGGGUCUUGUAAUUGGAAUGAGUACAAUGUAAAUACCUUAACGAGGAACAAUUGGAGGGCAAGUCUGGUGCCAGCAGCCGCGGUAAUUCCAGCUCCAAGAGCGUAUCUUAAAAUUGUUGCAGUUAAAAAGCUCGUAGUUGAACCUUGGGUCUGGCUGGCCGGUCCGCUUUUUUGCGAGUACUGGACCCAGCCGGGCCUUUCCUUCUGGCUAGCCUUUUGGCGAACCAGGACUUUUACUUUGAAAAAAUUAGAGUGUUCAAAGCAGGCCUUUGCUCGAAUAUAUUAGCAUGGAAUAAUAGAAUAGGACGUCAUGGUUCUAUUUUGUUGGUUUCUAGGACCAUCGUAAUGAUUAAUAGGAACGGUCGGGGGCAUCAGUAUUCAGCUGUCAGAGGUGAAAUUCUUGGAUUACCUGAAGACUAACUACUGCGAAAGCAUUUGCCAAGGACGUUUUCAUUAAUCAAGAACGAAAGUUAGGGGAUCGAAGAUGAUCAGAUACCGUCGUAGUCUUAACCAUAAACUAUGCCGACUAGGGAUCGGGCAUCGUUCAUUAUGACGUGCUCGGCACUUACGAGAAAUCAAAGUCUUGGGUUCUGG
rnacentral:rRNA from 1 species